rnacentral:rRNA from 1 species
UACGGGGGGGGCAAGCGUUGUUCGGAAUUACUGGGCGUAAAGGGCUCGUAGGCGGCCAACUAAGUCGGAUGUGAAAUCCCCAGGCUCAACCUGGGAACUGCAUCCGAUACUGGAUGGCUUGAAUUCGGGAGAGGGAUGCAGAAUUCCAGGUGUAGCGGUGAAAUGCGUAGAUAUCUGGAGGAAUACCGGUGGCGAAGGCGGCAUCCUGGACCGACAUUGACGCUGAGGAGCGAAAGCCAGAGGGGCAAACGGG